rnacentral:rRNA from 1 species
GUGGCAGCCGCCGCGGUAAUACGGAGGGUGCGAGCGUUAAUCGGAAUUACUGGGCGUAAAGGGCGCGUAGGCGGUCGCGCAAGUCGGGUGUGAAAGCCCCCGGGGCCCAACCUGGGAAGUUGUCAUUCGAUACUGCGUAACUAGAGUCUGGUAGAGGGAAGCGGAAUUCCGCAUGUAGCGGUGAAAUGCGUAGAUAUGCGGAGGAACACCAGUGGCGAAGGCGGCUUCCUGGACCAAGACUGACGCUGAGGCGCGAAAGCGUGGGGAGCAAACAGGAUUAGAUACCCUGGUAGUCCACGCCCUAAACGAUGAGGACUAGACGUUGGGGGGAUAAAACCCUUUAGUGUCGCAGCUAACGCGUGAAGUCCUCCGCCUGGGGAGUACGGCCGCAAGGUUGAAACUCAAAUGAAUUGGCGG